UACGUAGGGUGCAAGCGUUAAUCGGAAUUACUGGGCGUAAAGCGUGCGCAGGCGGUUGUGCAAGACAGAUGUGAAAUCCCCGGGCUUAACCUGGGAACUGCAUUUGUGACUGCACGGCUAGAGUGUGUCAGAGGGGGGUGGAAUUCCACGUGUAGCAGUGAAAUGCGUAGAGAUGUGGAGGAACACCGAUGGCGAAGGCAGCCCCCUGGGCCGACACUGACGCUCAUGCACGAAAGCGUGGGGAGCAAACAGG
rnacentral:rRNA from 1 species